rnacentral:lncRNA from 1 species
AAAAAGUUGCUUUCCAUGAGGGCUUGGUGCUGAGUGUGGCCCCCACAGGGAUGUCUGUGUGGUCACAGAGUACCUGUGGGAGGGCAAUUCUGACCCCAAGGUAGGAAGCAGUGAUCCGGUAAUUCCAGGCACCAAGGCAGAUAAAAAGACCAAGCCACAGCCUCCUCAAGAAGUUUGAAGUCUGCAUUGAACUCAUUAAUUUCCAGCUUUUGGCCGGGCGUGGUGGCUCAUGACUAUAAUUCCAGCACUUUAGGAGGCCAAGGUGGGCGGAUCACCUGAGGUCAGGAGUUUGUGACCAGCCUCACCUACAUGAUGGGGCCCAUGAGUGAGGAGGACAAGAGAGAAAGGAGAAGUUUGGGUGUAAAUCCCAGAGAUUGUUCAUCAUGUGAGAGGAGCCGUGCAUGCAUUUCAUGCCAUACUCACACCAUGGAUGGAGAAAAAAAAUCAAGCUUCACUUUCUGAGAAUGGCCCUGGGGGCACUGCAUCUAGUGCCUGUGCAUCUGCAGACCUGCCGGAUGCCUCCAGGGGAAUCAUGCCACCCCAAGCAAGAAAGGGCCCAGUUGCCAGGAGCCUGGAGGCAGAGAGCUGAGGAGCCAGCCCCUGACAUCAGAAUGGAGCUCAAAGGUUGGCUGGGUGUGACUCUGCCGUGGACAGCUUCUCUUGGGAAAUCUACUUUAAUGAAUCCAGGGGACCAAUUUGUAAUCAGCCCAUCAGAUGUUCAGCGACACUUAGCUGGAAUCUCGUUGCUGGACUCUGUGCCCCGCAGUGGAUGACAGUUCUCCAUCAGGGUCUGCAGUCCUCUACCCUGGACUUGCUGCAUCCUGGAGCCCCCAGCAGUCAGGUACCGGCUCUCAGAACUGCCUGCAUCCCAUUGGCCUGAGCUGCUGUCUGCCAGGGCUGCUGGUAACCAGGCCCACAGGGUUGGAUAUUCCCCCAACAGGGCAGCUCCCAGUCCAAGCCCAACUGUUACCAGCCCAGAAAGAUGUUUCAGGAUACCCCUUUCCUCCCCACUUCCCUGCCCUCUGCAGCUCCAGCUGGUGCACCCCAUCUUUCUCUCCCCCUCCCUGCUAGGCUGGGCCCUAACAGGAGACCUUUGAGGUGGUUGGGCUUGUUCUGCAACCUUGAGUACCCUUGAGCUACUGCCUCACUCCUCAGUUUUCUUCUUCUUAAGGUUUCUAAUUGGACUUUGCCAGUGUAUUUAUUUCAAAACUGGUCAUCUUACUGACCUCGCUCAUAGUCUCUUAUUACUUUUCUAGUUGAUUCUCUUGAGUUUUCUGGAUAAACAAUAAUAUCAUGUACAAAUAAUGAUGACAAUU